GUGGUUUGUGGGGUCUGCCGUGCUUAUGGUGUCAAUUGGAGUGCUUGGAGCCCUCGGGAAGCACUAAGAGCAUCCUCCAAUGGAGGUACCCAGUCGGGGUGCCAAGUGAUCCGUUACAACCAAUGCAGCACACUGAUCUUUGGAAGUAGGCUCUAUCUCAUGAAUGACUGAAGUACAUCUGUAGAGACCCAUACUGAAAAUAGUGUUGCUAACUGUGACGAAAUCAACUUCACCUUUUUGGAGGGGACUUUUACCCUGUGACUAUGGCCCCUGCAACAGAACGGGCUCUUUUUGUGCAAUUGGAACUAUAUGGUUCGUUUACCGAACAACCGCACGAACAGAGACCAUCCUGGAGCUUGUUAACACC